rnacentral:rRNA from 1 species
UACGUAGGCAGCGAGCGUUGUCCGGAAUUACUGGGCGUAAAGAGUGUGUAGGCGGUGCUCUAAGUUCGGUGUGAAAUCUCCUGGCUCAACUGGGAGGGUGCGCCGGAAACUGGAGUGCUUGAGCGUGGGAGAGGAAAGCGGAAUUCCUGGUGUAGCGGUGAAAUGCGUAGAUAUCAGGAGGAACACCUGUGGUGUAGACGGCUUUCUGGACCAUAGCUGACGCUGAGACACGAAAGCGUGGGUAGCAAACAGG